rnacentral:rRNA from 1 species
UACGUAGGGUGCGAGCGUUGUCCGGAAUUACUGGGCGUAAAGAGCUCGUAGGUGGUUUGUCGCGUUGUUCGUGAAAUCUCACGGCUUAACUGUGAGCGUGCGGGCGAUACGGGCAGACUGGAGUACUGCAGGGGAGACUGGAAUUCCUGGUGUAGCGGUGGAAUGCGCAGAUAUCAGGAGGAACACCGGUGGCGAAGGCGGAUCUCUGGGCCAUUACUGACGCUGAGGAGCGAAAGCGUGGGGAGCGAACAGG